rnacentral:rRNA from 1 species
AUUGAACGCUGGCGGAAUGCUUUACACAUGCAAGUCGAGCGGCAGCGCGGGGGCAACCCUGGCGGCGAGCGGCGAACGGGUGAGUAACACAUCGGAACGUACCCAGUUGUGGGGGAUAGCCCGGCGAAAGCCGGAUUAAUACCGCAUACGACCUGAGGGUGAAAGGGGGGGAUCGCAAGACCUCUCGCAGUUGGAGCGGCCGAUGGCGGAUUAGCUAGUUGGUGAGGUAAAGGCUCACCAAGGCGACGAUCCGUAGCUGGUCUGAGAGGACGACCAGCCACACUGGAACUGAGACACGGUCCAGACUCCUACGGGAGGCAGCAGUGGGGAAUUUUGGACAAUAGGGGCAACCCUGAUCCAGCCAUUCCGCGUGAGUGAAGAAGGCCUUCGGGUUGUAAAGCUCUUUCGGCAGGAACGAAACGGUGGAGGCUAAUACCUUUCAUCAAUGGCGGUACCUGAAGAAGAAGCACCGGCUAACUACGUGCCAGCAGCCGCCGUAA